rnacentral:siRNA from 1 species
UCACGCUUGGUACUAUGGUUUC